GCGGGAGAGGCGCGGCCGCGACCCGGGAGCUGCCCGGGGAGCCCAUUCACUCAGCACCGGAGCGCUGCGGCGGGAAGGAGCGGGCUGAAGCACCAGGAAAUGAAGUUAUCUCCAGGAACAUGAAAAGCCACUGCAGCCAGUGAAUUGUUCUACAAUUAAAGGAAAGUCAAGAGAAAAUCAAAGCCAGUUUUGUGCAGAGCACCUAAAGAAGAGUGUUUGCAAGGACGGCCAGACUGACUCUGCAAUGAGAGGGGCGCAGGCGCAGAGAGCUCUCCAACUUCAACUGCUGUCCGUCUGCUCGCACUCACGACAACCACGUUUCCAGCCUGUUCUGCCGCUUCAGGAUUUACCUACUCCUCCGGCCAAGCACAACGUGAGCAGAGCGCCCCGCACAGCCG